GUAAGAUGGCCCCAGCAAAGCUGGUUGGGGGCCUGUUCUCAGGGUCCUGAUAGGCUGGGCUCUGGACCCUGGUGUGGGUGGGGUAGUGAAAAUGGAGGGGAAGAAAAACGGUGAGAAGCAGCUCAGAGGAGACUCUGGAUUUUAGUGACUUUCUGGUCACGGGGAACAUCCAAGUGGGAGGAAGGAAGAGCUCCAAGUGGGUCAUAAAUCGCAGUCACUCAGCCUUGGGGGGCUGCCGGGCCCCGCGGAGGCAGCGCAGCCCCGCGCGGAGCAGCACGCGGGAACGGAGCAGCUCGCAGGCCCGCUGUUCAAGCUGGCUGAGUCUCCCGCCCCCCCCCCCCCCCCCCCCCCCCCCGUAAUAGGUCCCUUCAAGUCCCUGCACGGUUAUUAAUAGACGCGUGCUGGGCAGCUGUCCCGCACAUCCGGGGAAGACAGCACCCCCGAAGCCGGCCGGGCACCUCCGCCGCGCAGCAGGCGGGCGGACUCCCGGGGGCAGAGGCAUAUAAAGGCUCUUUUGUGGUCUCCCAACUGCCCUCUCCCCUCCUCUUUGUUUUUGGCAUCUGUCAUUAUGCCCCGCAAACCACAGCCAGGCCUCCUGACGGCACCAAUAUCUGCUUUCCUGCCGCCUCGGAAGCCUCUCUCAGCUGGAGCCACCGGCAGGCAUGUCCCAUUCUGCAGCCAAUUCUGACCAAGGCAGGAAAUGGAUGUGGAGCCUCAGUCUGCCACUGGAGAGAGGAAAGGGCUGGAAUUCGGUCUCAUGUUUUCAAUCAGUAACAAUCGUGCCUUGGUUAAACCUCAGAGGCGACGGUGCUACCACUGCUCAAAGCUGAAGUAAGUCGUGUUCUUCAGAUGUGGGAUCUAGAGGCUUAGGCACGACUCACAGGCUCCUGGGUGCCUUCCUCCUGCUCUCAAGUCUCCUUUGCUCAAAUCCAAAUGAGGAUUGGGUGUGUCAGAGGCAGCCCGACUGCUGGGCAGCCCUCAACUUCCAGAAUUUCCCCCUUACAUCCCCAUUCCCCAGUGGCUUCGG
rnacentral:lncRNA from 1 species